GACGAACGCUGGCGGCGUGCUUAACACAUGCAAGUCGAGCGGAAAGGCCCUGCUUUUGUGGGGUGCUCGAGUGGCGAACGGGUGAGUAACACGUGAGUAACCUGCCCUUGACUUUGGGAUAACUUCAGGAAACUGGGGCUAAUACCGGAUAGGAGCUCCUGCUGCAUGGUGGGGGUUGGAAAGUUUCGGCGGUUGGGGAUGGACUCGCGGCUUAUCAGCUUGUUGGUGGGGUAGUGGCUUACCAAGGCUUUGACGGGUAGCCGGCCUGAGAGGGUGACCGGCCACAUUGGGACUGAGAUACGGCCCAGACUCCUACGGGAGGCAGCAGUGGGGAAUAUUGCACAAUGGGCGGAAGCCUGAUGCAGCAACGCCGCGUGCGGGAUGACGGCCUUCGGGUUGUAAACCGCUUUCGCCUGUGACGAAGCGUGAGUGACGGUAAUGGGUAAAGAAGCACCGGCUAACUACGUGCCAGCAGCCGCGGUGAUACGUAGGGUGCGAGCGUUGUCCGGAUUUAUUGGGCGUAAAGGGCUCGUAGGUGGUUGAUCGCGUCGGAAGUGUAAUCUUGGGGCUUAACCCUGAGCGUGCUUUCGAUACGGGUUGACUUGAGGAAGGUAGGGGAGAAUGGAAUUCCUGGUGGAGCGGUGGAAUGCGCAGAUAUCAGGAGGAACACCAGUGGCGAAGGCGGUUCUCUGGGCCUUUCCUGACGCUGAGGAGCGAAAGCGUGGGGAGCGAACAGGCUUAGAUACCCUGGUAGUCCACGCUGUAAACGGUGGGUACUAGGUGUGGGGUCCACUCCACGGGUUCCGUGCCGUAGCUAACGCUUUAAGUACCCCGCCUGGGGAGUACGGCCGCAAGGCUAAAACUCAAAGGAAUUGACGGGGCCCCGCACAAGCGGCGGAGCAUGCGGAUUAAUUCGAUGCAACGCGUAGAACCUUACCUGGGUUUGACAUGGAUCGGGAGUGCUCAGAGAUGGGUGUGCCUCUUUUGGGGUCGGUUCACAGGUGGUGCAUGGCUGUCGUCAGCUCGUGUCGUGAGAUGUUGGGUUAAGUCCCGCAACGAGCGCAACCCUUGUUCACUGUUGCCAGCACGUUAUGGUGGGGACUCAGUGGAGACCGCCGGGGUCAACUCGGAGGAAGGUGGGGAUGACGUCAAGUCAUCAUGCCCCUUAUGUCCAGGGCUUCACGCAUGCUACAAUGGCUGGUACAGAGAGUGGCGAGCCUGUGAGGGUGAGCGAAUCUCGGAAAGCCGGUCUCAGUUCGGAUUGGGGUCUGCAACUCGACCUCAUGAAGUCGGAGUCGCUAGUAAUCGCAGAUCAGCAACGCUGCGGUGAAUACGUUCCCGGG
rnacentral:rRNA from 1 species